UACGUAGGGUGCGAGCGUUAAUCGGAAUUACUGGGCGUAAAGCGUGCGCAGGCGGCUUUGCAAGACAGAGGUGAAAUCCCCGGGCUCAACCUGGGAACUGCCUUUGUGACUGCAAGGCUAGAGUACGGCAGAGGGGGAUGGAAUUCCGCGUGUAGCAGUGAAAUGCGUAGAUAUGCGGAGGACACCGAUGGCGAAGGCAAUCCCUGGGCCUGUACUGACGCUCAUGCACGAAAGCGUGGGGAGCAA
rnacentral:rRNA from 1 species